rnacentral:rRNA from 1 species
AUUGAACGCUGGCGGCAUGCCUUACACAUGCAAGUCGAACGGCAGCACGGGAGCAAUCCUGGUGGCGAGUGGCGAACGGGUGAGUAAUAUAUCGGAACGUGCCCAGUCGUGGGGGAUAACGUAGCGAAAGCUACGCUAAUACCGCAUACGAUCUAUGGAUGAAAGCGGGGGAUCGCAAGACCUCGCGCGAUUGGAGCGGCCGAUAUCAGAUUAGGUAGUUGGUGAGGUAAAGGCUCACCAAGCCGACGAUCUGUAGCUGGUCUGAGAGGACGACCAGCCACACUGGGACUGAGACACGGCCCAGACUCCUACGGGAGGCAGCAGUGGGGAAUUUUGGACAAUGGACGCAAGCCUGAUCCAGCAAUGCCGCGUGCAGGAUGAAGG